rnacentral:rRNA from 1 species
GAGGACCGAACCGACUAAUGUUGAAAAAUUAGCGGAUGACUUGUGGCUGGGGGUGAAAGGCCAAUCAAACCGGGAGAUAGCUGGUUCUCCCCGAAAGCUAUUUAGGUAGCGCCUCGUGAAUUCAUCUUCGGGGGUAGAGCACUGUUUCGGCUAGGGGGUCAUCCCGACUUACCAACCCGAUGCAAACUACGAAUACCGAAGAAUGUUAUCACGGGAGACACACGGCGGGUGCUAACGUCCGUCGUGAA